rnacentral:rRNA from 1 species
GAUGAACGCUGGCGGCGUGCCUAAUACAUGCAAGUCGAGCGAACAGACGAUGAGGUUGCUCCUCUGACGUUAGCGGCGGACGGGUGAGUAAAACGUGGAUAACCUACCUAUAAGACUGGGAUAACUUCGGGAAACCGGAGCUAAUACCGGAAAAAAUAUUGAACCGCAUGGUUCCAUAGUGAAAGACGGUGUUUCUGUCACUUAUAGGUGGGUCCGCGCCGCAUUAGCGAGUUGGUAAGGGAAGGGCUUACCAAGGCACCGCUGCGUAGCCGACCUGAGAGGGUGAUCGGCCCCACGGGAACUGAGCCACGGUCCAGACUCCUACGGGAGGCAGCAGUAGGGAAUCUUCCGCAAUGGGCGAAAGCCUGACGGAGCAACGCCGCGUGAGUGAUGAAGGUCUUCGGAUCGUAAAACUCUGUUAUUAGGGAAGAACAAAUGUGUAAGUAACUAUGCACGUCUUGACGGUACCUAAUCAGAAAGCAACGGCUAACUACGUG